GCGGUUGUGGCGCAGUGGUAGCGCGUCGCCUCGCCAAGGCGAAGAUCGCCGGUUCGAAUCCGGCCAGCCGCU
rnacentral:tRNA from 1 species